GCAAACUUGGUCAUUUAGAGGAAGUAAAAGUCGUAACAAGGUUUCCGUAGGUGAACCUGCGGAAGGAUCAUUAACAAAUCUGGAUGUGGGAUUGUGUGAUUGAUGGGAGGAGUUGGAUGGAGGAAGAGAGGGUUAAGGGAUGAGAGAAGAGGGUUGCAUGUGCAUUCCCCCUCUCCAUCUCCACUCACUCACUCUAUUAACCACCCACAAUCCACAGUCACCAUACAUUGACUCGGGCUCGGUGGUCGGGUCGGUCGGUGGUUAUGACCUAGCUGCUGCCCGAUUUGAUCAUCGGGUCUUGAGACAUUCACGCUUGUUGUGUAUGACUGAGUUUAUUAUUGUGCCUUAAUAUAAGACAACUUUUAACAAUGGAUCUCUUGGCUCUUGCAUCGAUGAAGAACGCAGC
rnacentral:misc_RNA from 1 species